rnacentral:rRNA from 1 species
AUGGCGCCGCUCGCAGCCCGGAGGCCAGCCUGCCUCCUGGCCCUCCUCUCCGUCGCCGCGGCCUUAUUCCUGACCCCGACGGCCUUGGCGGCGGGGGGAAAGACCGGCCAGGUGACGGUGUUCUGGGGACGGAACAAGGCCGAGGGCUCCCUGCGUGAGGCCUGCGACUCCGGUAUGUACACCAUGGUCACCAUGUCCUUCCUCGACGUCUUCGGCGCCAACGGCAAGUACCACCUCGACCUCUCCGGCCAUGACCUCUCCUCCGUCGGCGCCGACAUCAAGCACUGCCAGUCCAAGGGCGUCCCUGUCUCCCUCUCCAUCGGCGGCUACGGCACCGGCUACUCGCUGCCGUCCAACCGCUCCGCGCUCGACCUCUUCGACCACCUCUGGAACUCCUACUUCGGCGGGUCCAAGCCGAGCGUCCCCCGCCCCUUCGGCGACGCGUGGCUCGACGGCGUCGACCUCUUCCUGGAGCACGGCACGCCGGCGGACCGCUACGACGUGCUGGCGCUGGAGCUGGCCAAGCACAACACCCCAAGAACGUCUACUACGGCGUCGCGCCGGUGGCGCAGAAGAAGGACAACUACGGCGGCAUCAUGCUCUGGGACCGAUACUUCGACAAGCAGACCAACUACAGCAGCUUGA